rnacentral:rRNA from 1 species
CUACGGGGCGCUGCAGUGAGGAAUAUUGCACAAUGGGGGGAACCCUGAUGCAGCAACGCCGCGUGGAGGAUGACGCAUUUCGGUGUGUAAACUCCUUUUAUAUGUCAAGAAAAUGACGGUAGCAUAUGAAUAAGCACCGGCUAACUCCGUGCCAGCAGCCGCGAUAAUACGGAGGGUGCAAGCGUUACUCGGAAUCACUGGGCGUAAAGGACGCGUAGGCGGGUUGGAAAGUCAGGUGUGAAAUCCUACAGCUUAACUGUAGAACUGCACUUGAAACUUCUAAUCUAGAGUAUGGGAGGGGGAGAUGGAAUUAGUGGUGUAGGGGUAAAAUCCGUAGAUAUCACUAGGAAUACCUAAAGCGAAGGCGAUCUCCCGGAACAUUACUGACGCUAAGGCGUGAAAGCGUGGGGAGCAAACAGGAUUAGAUACCCCCGUAGUC